rnacentral:rRNA from 1 species
UGGGGAAUAUUGCACAAUGGGGGAAACCCGUACGAUGCAGCGACGCCGCGUGAGCGAAGAAGUAUUUCGGUACGUAAAGCUCUAUCAGCAGGGAAGAAAAUGACGGUACCUGACUAAGAAGCUCCGGCUAAAUACGUGCCAGCAGCCGCGGUAAUACGUAUGGAGCAAGCGUUAUCCGGAUUUACUGGGUGUAAAGGGAGCGUAGGCGGUAAGGCAAGUCUGAUGUGAAAAUUUGGGGCUCAACCCCAAAACUGCAUUGGAAACUGUUUAACUGGAGUGUCGGAGGGGCAAGUGGAAUUCCUAGUGUAGCGGUGAAAUGCGU